GCCCAAGUGGCGGAACUGGUAGACGCGCUACAUUCAGGGUGUAGUGGGCGAACGCCCGUGCAAGUUCGAGUCUUGUCUUGGGCA
rnacentral:tRNA from 1 species